rnacentral:rRNA from 1 species
AGAGUUUGAUCCUGGCUCAGAUUGAACGCUGGCGGCAGGCCUAACACAUGCAAGUCGAGCGGAAACGGCAGCAUUGAAGCUUCGGUGGAUUUGCUGGACGUCGAGCGGCGGACGGGUGAGUAACGGCUGGGAACCUGCCCUGACGAGGGGGAUAACCGUUGGAAACGACGGCUAAUACCGCAUAAUGUCUCAGUUCAUUACGAGCUGGGACCAAAGGUGGCCUCUACAUGUAAGCUAUCGCGUUGGGAUGGGCCCAGUUAGGAUUAGCUAGUUGGUAAGGUAAUGGCUUACCAAGGCGACGAUCCUUAGCUGGUUUGAGAGGAUGAUCAGCCACACUGGGACUGAGACACGGCCCAGACUCCUACGGGAGGCAGCAGUGGGGAAUAUUGCACAAUGGGGGAGACCCUGAUGCAGCCAUGCCGCGUGUGAAGAAGGCCUUCGGGUUGUAAAGCACUUUCAGCAGUGAGGAAGGUGGUGUACUUAAUAAGUGCAUGGCUUGACGUUAGCUGCAGAAGAAGCACCGGCUAACUCCGUGCCAGCAGCCGCGGUAAUACGGAGGGUGCGAGCGUUAAUCGGAAUUACUGGGCGUAAAGCGCAUGCAGGCGGUUUGUUAAGUCAGAUGUGAAAGCCCGGGGCUCAACCUCGGAACCGCAUUUGAAACUGGCAGGCUAGAGUCUUGUAGAGGGGGGUAGAAUUUC